rnacentral:sRNA from 1 species
UUACCUCGGGCCAUGUACUGUGACGGUC